AUUGCUUCUUGGCCUUUUGGCUAAGAUCAAGUAUAAUAUCUGUUUCAGUUUUGAAAAUUGCUUGCCUUUUAUUAAAAAACAUGUACUUUACUAUGACUGAGAAAUUCUAU
ensembl:snRNA U2 U2 spliceosomal RNA